UACGAAUGGGGCUAGCGUUGCUCGGAAUCACUGGGCGUAAAGCGCACGUAGGCGGGUCGUUAAGUCGGGGGUGAAAUCCUGGAGCUCAACUCCAGAACUGCCUUCGAUACUGGCGACCUUGAGUCCGGGAGAGGUGAGUGGAACUCCGAGUGUAGAGGUGAAAUUCGUAGAUAUUCGGAAGAACACCAGUGGCGAAGGCGGCUCACUGGCCCGGUACUGACGCUGAGGUGCGAAAGCGUGGGGAGCGAACAGG
rnacentral:rRNA from 1 species